GAAUGUCAGACGCUUCGACUGAAGUUGUUGACUCCAACAGUUGCUUGCCAAGAGGAUGGAUGUGUGAUCUGAGCGUCUGGGCACCGUCUCAAUUUGAGACAGGUUCCUGAGAGUGAAGAAAAACCAUGGGCUCAAAAUAGAAGUCGAAAGAGAGGAGCUUGUAGGCUCGAAAGAAACAGCAGUACACUACUCUACCCUGGGAAAGCCUCAAUGAAGCUUCAGGGUUAAAGGAGAAAACUUACUCCCUGUGGCCCUUUCUUUUGGGUGACAAAAAGAAGUACUUAAAUCUUCUCUACAGUUCCAAAUCUCAGAGACUGAUAGUCUUGGAGCCAAAUACAGCCUCUUUCAAUUUUAAGUAAGUUGGCCUUGAAGCAUUUAUAUGUGAUUUUUCUCAAACAAAUUUUGGGAACUUUUAAAAAUAAUGUUAACUUUAUUUUUAUUAUUACUAUCAUCAUCAUUAUUAUUACUUCUAUGAGAGUUUUGCCUGUGUGCACUGUGUGUGUGUGUGUGUGUGUGUGUGUGUAUGUUGCUUGUGGAGAGCAGAAGAGUCUAUCAGAUUCCUUGGACCUCUUAGACUCAAAAAUUGGAUGUAACCAUGGAUUUAGCUUUUGAAUGCUAUAUAUUUCAAAAGUCAUUUUUCUGUCCCCAGCUGUAGAAUCAAAAACACUUGCACUGUGAAUCAUGUGAUCUACAAGAAGCACAGAGAGCAUCCAUCACUUUGAAGAGUCAUGUUAAUUCCUCAAGAAAAGAUAAAUCCAAGUGUGAGAAUUUUCAUCCAGGACAACACAACUUUAAAAAAUUAUUUCUUUCAUGUGUA